rnacentral:rRNA from 1 species
CCCUGGCUCAGAUUGAACGCUGGCGGCAGGCCUAACACAUGCAAGUCGAGCGGCAGCACGGGUACUUGUACCUGGUGGCGAGCGGCGGACGGGUGAGUAAUGCCUAGGAAUCUGCCUGGUAGUGGGGGAUAACGCUCGGAAACGGACGCUAAUACCGCAUACGUCCUACGGGAGAAAGCAGGGGACCUUCGGGCCUUGCGCUAUCAGAUGAGCCUAGGUCGGAUUAGCUAGUUGGUGAGGUAAUGGCUCACCAAGGCGACGAUCCGUAACUGGUCUGAGAGGAUGAUCAGUCACACUGGAACUGAGACACGGUCCAGACUCCUACGGGAGGCAGCAGUGGGGAAUAUUGGACAAUGGGCGAAAGCCUGAUCCAGCCAUGCCGCGUGUGUGAAGAAGGUCUUCGGAUUGUAAAGCACUUUAAGUUGGGAGGAAGGGCAGUAACAUUAAUACUUUGCUGUUUUGACGUUACCGACAGAAUAAGCACCGG